GGCGGAAUUCGUCGUGUAGCGGUGAAAUGCUUAGAUAUGACGAAGAACUCCGAUUGCGAAGGCAGCUGACGGGAGCGCAACUGACGCUUAAGCUCGAAGGUGCGGGUAUCAAACAGGAUUAGAUACCCUGGUAGUCCGCACAGUAAACGAUGGAUGCCCGCUGUUGGUACCUGGUAUCAGCGGCUAAGCGAAAGCAUUAAGCAUCCCACCUGGGGAGUACGCCGGCAACGGUGAAACUCAAAGGAAUUGACGGGGGCCCGCACAAGCGGAGGAACAUGUGGUUUAAUUCGAUGAUACGCGAGGAACCUUACCCGGGCUUGAAUUGCAGAGGAAGGAUUUAGAGAUAAUGACGCCCUUCGGGGUCUCUGUGAAGGUGCUGCAUGGUUGUCGUCAGCUCGUGCCGUGAGGUGUCGGCUUAAGUGCCAUAACGAGCGCAACCCCUCUCUUCAGUUGCCAUCAGGUUAAGCUGGGCACUCUGGAGACACUGCCACCGUAAGGUGUGAGGAAGGUGGGGAUGACGUCAAAUCAGCACGGCCCUUACGUCCGGGGCUACACACGUGUUACAAUGGCCGGUACAGAGGGAUGGUGUAAUGCAAAUUGCAUCAAAUCUUGAAAGCCGGUCCCAGUUCGGACUGGGGUCUGCAACCCGACCCCACGAAGCUGGAUUCGCUAGUAAUCGCGCAUCAGCCAUGGCGCGGUGAAUACGUUCCCGGGCCUUGUACACACCGCCCGUCAAGCCAUG
rnacentral:rRNA from 1 species